rnacentral:rRNA from 1 species
AAAUUGAAGAGUUUGAUCAUGGCUCAGAUUGAACGCUGGCGGCAGGCCUAACACAUGCAAGUCGAACGGUAACAGGAAGCAGCUUGCUGCUUUGCUGACGAGUGGCGGACGGGUGAGUAAUGUCUGGGAAACUGCCUGAUGGAGGGGGAUAACUACUGGAAACGGUGGCUAAUACCGCAUAACGUCGCAAGACCAAAGAGGGGGACCUUCGGGCCUCUUGCCAUCAGAUGUGCCCAGAUGGGAUUAGCUUGUUGGUGAGGUAACGGCUCACCAAGGCGACGAUCCCUAGCUGGUCUGAGAGGAUGACCAGCCACACUGGAACUGAGACACGGUCCAGACUCCUACGGGAGGCAGCAGUGGGGAAUAUUGCACAAUGGGCGCAAGCCUGAUGCAGCCAUGCCGCGUGUAUGAAGAAGGCCUUCGGGUUGUAAAGUACUUUCAGCGGGGAGGAAGGUGUUGUGGUUAAUAACCGCAGCAAUUGACGUUACCCGCAGAAGAAGCACCGGCUAACUCCGUGCCAGCAGCCGCGGUAAUACGGAGGGUGCAAGCGUUAAUCGGAAUUACUGGGCGUAAAGCGCACGCAGGCGGUCUGUCAAGUCGGAUGUGAAAUCCCCGGGCUCAACCUGGGAACUGCAUUCGAAACUGGCAGGCUUGAGUCUUGUAGAGGGGGGUAGAAUUCCAGGUGUAGCGGUGAAAUGCGUAGAGAUCUGGAGGAAUACCGGUGGCGAAGGCGGCCCCCUGGACAAAGACUGACGCUCAGGUGCGAAAGCGUGGGGAGCAAACAGGAUUAGAUACCCUGGUAGUCCACGCCGUAAACGAUGUCUACUUGGAGGUUGUGCCCUUGAGGCGUGGCUUCCGGAGCUAACGCGUUAAGUAGACCGCCUGGGGAGUACGGCCGCAAGGUUAAAACUCAAAUGAAUUGACGGGGGCCCGCACAAGCGGUGGAGCAUGUGGUUUAAUUCGAUGCAACGCGAAGAACCUUACCUGGUCUUGACAUCCACAGAACUUUCCAGAGAUGGAUUGGUGCCUUCGGGAACUGUGAGACAGGUGCUGCAUGGCUGUCGUCAGCUCGUGUUGUGAAAUGUUGGGUUAAGUCCCGCAACGAGCGCAACCCUUAUCCUUUGUUGCCAGCGGUCCGGCCGGGGACUCAAAGGAGACUGCCAGUGAUAAACUGGAGGAAGGUGGGGAUGACGUCAAGUCAUCAUGGCCCUUACGACCAGGGCUACACACGUGCUACAAUGGCGCAUACAAAGAGAAGCGACCUCGCGAGAGCAAGCGGACCUCAUAAAGUGCGUCGUAGUCCGGAUUGGAGUCUGCAACUCGACUCCAUGAAGUCGGAAUCGCUAGUAAUCGUGGAUCAGAAUGCCACGGUGAAUACGUUCCCGGGCCUUGUACACACCGCCCGUCACACCAUGGGAGUGGGUUGCAAAAGAAGUAGGUAGCUUAACCUUCGGGAGGGCGCUUACCACUUUGUGAUUCAUGACUGGGGUGAAGUCGUAACAAGGUAACCGUAGGGGAACCUGCGGUUGGAUCACCUCCUUA